rnacentral:rRNA from 1 species
UAAGGAAUAUUGGUCAAUGGACGAAAGUCUGAACCAGCCAUGCCGCGUGAAGGAUGAAGGUCCUCUGGAUUGUAAACUUCUUUUAUUUGGGACGAAAAAAGGGAAUUCUUUCUCACUUGACGGUACCAGAUGAAUAAGCACCGGCUAACUCCGUGCCAGCAGCCGCGGUAAUACGGAGGGUGCAAGCGUUAUCCGGAUUCACUGGGUUUAAAGGGUGCGUAGGCGGAUAGGUAAGUCCGUGGUGAAAUCCUGCAGCUUAACUGCAGAACUGCCGUGGAUACUAUCUAUCUUGAAUGUCGUGGAGGUUAGCGGAAUAUGUCAUGUAGCGGUGAAAUGCUUAGAUAUGACAUAGAACACCCAUUGCGAAGGCAGCUAACUACGCGAUUAUUGACGCUGAUGCACGAAAGCGUGGGGAUCAAACAG